GAAAAUGAUGAUACUGUUGUCGCCCCAGUCUUACUUGCAUUUUACAAUGGAUGCAAGAUGGUGAUAGACAUACUUAUAUCUGAUUC